UCGGGAAUUUUGGGCAAUGGGCGAAAGCCUGACCCAGCAACGCCGCGUGAAGGAUGAAGUCUCUCGGGAUGUAAACUUCGUAAGAAUAGGAAGAAUAAAUGACGGUACUAUUUGUAAGGUCCGGCUAACUACGUGCCAGCAGCCGCGGUAAUACGUAGGGACCAAGCGUUGUUCGGAUUUACUGGGCGUAAAGGGCGCGUAGGCGGCGUGGUAAGUCACUUGUGAAAUCUCCGAGCUUAACUCGGAACGGUCAAGUGAUACUGCUGUGCUAGAGUACAGAAGGGGCAAUCGGAAUUCUUGGUGUAGCGGUGAAAUGCGUAGAUAUAGGAAGGAACACCAGUGGCGAAGGCGACCACCUGGACUGAUACUGACACUGAGGUGCGAAAGCGUGGGGAGCAAACAGGAUUAGAUACCCACGUAGUCCCUGAGCGGGCUGGCAAGGCGCAU
rnacentral:rRNA from 1 species